UACGUAGGCAGCAAGCGUUGUUCGGAAUUACUGGGCGUAAAGAGUGUGUAGGUGGUGUCGUAAGUUUGGUGUGAAAUCUCCCGGCUUAACUGGGAGGGUGCGCCGAAGACUGCGAUGCUGGAGUAUGGGAGAGGAAAGCGGAAUUCCUGGUGUAGCGGUGAAAUGCGUAGAUAUCGUAAGGAAGACCAGUGGCGAAGGCGGGUCUCUGGACAGUUCCGUGACGCUGACGGGCACGAAGGUCAGGGGAG
rnacentral:rRNA from 1 species